AUUGAACGCUGGCGGAAUGCUUUACACAUGCAAGUCGAACGGCAGCACGGGUGCUUGCACCUGGUGGCGAGUGGCGAACGGGUGAGUAAUGCACCGGAACGUAUCCAAUAAUGGGGGAUAACGCACCGAAAGGUGUGCUAAUACCGCAUACGCCCUGAGGGGGAAAGCGGGGGAUCGUAAGACCUCGCGUUAAUGGGAGCGGCCGAUGCCGGAUUAGCUAGUUGGUGAGGUAAAGGCUCACCAAGGCGACGAUCCGUAGCUGGUCUGAGAGGACGACCAGCCACACUGGAACUGAGACACGGUCCAGACUCCUACGGGAGGCAGCAGUGGGGAAUUUUGGACAAUGGGCGCAAGCCUGAUCCAGCCAUUCCGCGUGAGUGAAGAAGGCC
rnacentral:rRNA from 1 species